rnacentral:lncRNA from 1 species
UAUUUUUCGAAUGGUUUUGAUGAGUUAAAUUGUUGAAAAUAUUAUGUAUUGAGUCUUCAUAUCCUAGUCCAAAUGUCGAGUCGGUUAUGGUUCAAUGCAUUGAUAUCUUGUUGAUGUUGAGGAAGAUUAAAAUGUUUUGAGCUAAAAUGUGUUGAGUUAGGAAUCCACAAAUUGAUAUGAUUUGAUAAAUGAGAAAGAGAUUUGAUUUGAUCUUUAUGAUAGACCCUUGUGA